rnacentral:rRNA from 1 species
UAUUCCGGUUGAUCCUGCCGGAGGCCAUUGCUAACGGGGUCCGAUUUAGCCAUGCUAGUCGCACGGGCUCAGACCCGCGGCAUAUAGUUCAAUAGCACGAGGCCAAUCUACCCUCCGGAACAGGACACCCUCGGGAAACUGAGGUUAAUCCUGUAUACGGCUCCUACUCUUGAAUGACGGGAGUCAGAAACGCUCCGGCGCCGGAGGAUGAGGCUGCGGCCGAUUAGGUUGACGGUGGGGUAACGGCCCACCGCGCCAAUAAUCGGUACUGGGUCAUGAGAGUGAGAACCCAGAGACGGACUCUGAGACAAGAGUCCGGGCCCUACGGGGCGCAGCAGGCGCGAAACCUUUACACUGCACGACAGUGCGAUAAGGGGACCCCAAGUGCGCAGGCAUAGUGCCUGUGCUUUUCUGGACUGUAGGGCGGUCCAGGAACAAGGGCUGGGCAAGACCGGUGCCAGCCGCCGCGGUAAUACCGGCAGCCCAAGUGAUGGCCGCUGUUAUUGGGCCUAAAGCGUCCGUAGCU